rnacentral:lncRNA from 1 species
ACCAGAGUGCGUGGCACAGGGGGAUAAAGAAUGUUGUUGGUGGGCUGGAGAGAUGCCUCAGCAGUUAAAAGAACUGAUUGCUCUUCCAGAGGUCCUGAGUUCAAUUCUCUGAGGCUACCCUGGCUACAUGUGACCCUGUCAAGAUAGAAGAAAGUAUAUCUUUGGACUUAUUUGCCUUUUAACUUUAUUUAUUUAUUUAUCGUUUGUUUAUUUGUUUGUUUUUGAGACAGGGUCUCACUAUAUAGCGCUGGCUGGAUCAGAACUUACUGUGCAGACCAGGCUGACCUCAAGCGCAUAGAAAUUGCUUGCCUCUGCCUCCUUCAUUCUAGAAUUAAAGGUGGGAUCCACCAUGCCCAGCCUUUACUACUUUCUUAAUUCAUGACUUCCUGUUUAUUAUUUCACAGGUAAGAAACUGAAUACAGAUGCCAUUAUUUUUUCCCAAAU